AGUGAACGCUGGCGGCGUGCCUAACACACGCAAGUCGAACGAUGAAGUCCUUCGGGAUGGAUUAGUGGCGCACGGGUGAGUAUACCAUAGAUAAUGUACCUCUUAGUUUGGGAUAGCCACUGGAAACGGUGAUUAAUACCAGAUACUCCUUCUUGUCUUAAGGCAAGUCGGGAAAGUUUUUUCGCUAAGAGAUCAGUCUAUGUCCUAUCAGCUAGUUGGUGAGGUAAUGGCUCACCAAGGCUAUGACGGGUAUCUGGUUUGAGAGGUUGAUCAGGCACACUGGAACUGAGACACGGUCCAGACUCCUACGGGAGGCAGCAGUGAGGAAUAUUGCACAAUGGAGGAAACUCUGAUGCAGCAACGCCGCGUGGAGGAUGACGCAUUUCGGUGUGUAAACUCCUUUUAAGAGGGAAGAUUAUGACGGUACCUCUUGAAUAAGCACCGGCUAACUCCGUGCCAGCCGCCGCCGUAA
rnacentral:rRNA from 1 species